GUAACAUGCUAAUGAAUGACUAAUGUGUAACUGAAGAAAUGUAAAAGACAAUCAAGAACGAUCUUUAACAAAAUGAUGCAACUGUAUGAUAUAUGAGUCAGUGAAACAUUUAAUCAGAAGAAACUGUUUUGAAGAGGUGAAACUAGCA